GCGGGAGAUCAGCCGAAAGAGCAAGUGGGU
rnacentral:piRNA from 1 species